UUUUUGGCUCCUUCUAAACAAAAAAGAUAUCUUCUCAUUUUUCUGAGAAGUUAACAGUUUUCGAGUUACAAGGGAUUUAAAAUCUGAAAAUUGCGAGAAUACACAUCGCUUGCUGAGAACAUUAGUGACGUAACUUCAAAAACGUAGUUUGUAGCGCCGUAACUAUUUCAUGUAUGGAUAUUGCACGGAGAAUAUAAUAUGUUUAAAUGUAAUACCGCCACAUGUUGCGAGUUCUAGGGGUCUUUUACAGAAACGUUUGCACAAUAUUCCGAAGUAUGGGAGAGUUGUAGAAGGAAGUAAUAGGACAAACAAUUUAUGUUUUUAUUUAACUAUAAACAAAUUAAGGAGAAGAACAUGCAAAAUAUUUUUAUGAAUACCCUUAUUAUUGGAGAUCGAUUUAUUCGAACAAGUUGGGCUAAGUCAAAAGAUUAUAACAUCGUUCAGAAAGGUAAUACAUAGAGGAAAUCAUCAAAAA
rnacentral:lncRNA from 1 species